rnacentral:rRNA from 1 species
UACGAAGGGGGCUAGCGUUGCUCGGAAUCACUGGGCGUAAAGCGCACGUAGGCGGAUCGCUAAGUCAGGGGUGAAAUCCUGGAGCUCAACUCCAGAACUGCCUUUGAUACUGAAGAUCUUGAGUUCGGGAGAGGUGAGUGGAACUGCGAAGUGUAGAGGUGAAAUUCGUAGAUAUUCGCGAAGAACACCAGUGGCGAAGGCGGCUCACUGGCCCGAUA